UGCAUGAUUUUAGUAUCCAAGGGCCCAACUGGAUUUGAUCAGUGGCAGGAAACCACCAAAGAGGCCUGUGGCUACAGAGGCGUUCUAGCCCAUAGGCAGGACCCGUGGCCUCAGCGUCGUCUUCCACCAGAAGGGAAGCCCUUUGUCAUGGCACAGGACGGCUCUAACCCUCCUUCCUCUCCUUGCACCGUGAAGAGCCCUCCGGGAGGAGAUAGGGAAUCUCAACAGAGGUCUAUGUCCGUGUGGGAUUCUCCAUGUUUACUUGACAUCAUUCAUCUCACACAGAUGUCCCUCCCUAACCUUGAGCCCUCAGCUGGACUUGAAUUUGGCAAAGGCAUGAUACACGUCUAGACCAGUUGAAAAGCAUUCUGCUGAUUUAGCAACGUGAAAAUCAGUGCUGACAGCCCUACUCCUGCCGCUCUAGCGAAGGCCAAAAUGCACUGCAGAAUGCGCGAGCACCACCUGCUCCCACUCUCCUGGCGAUAAUUACAGUCCUGAAGUCGACUUAGAGGCACAGAAGACCCCUUGAUGUCAGUAGUCAUACCGUACUGGUAGAUGGCUUGUCUCGUGGUGCGUCAGCGAACCGAGAAGUAACUGUUGCAGAAAAUUGCAAUUUAGCCUUUGAUCCUUUUUCUUCUAAUUAAGAAACCCAAAUCUGACUUCCUCUUCUUUCUCGUUUACUUCGGAAAGUCGUUGGGCAGGUGCCAGCGGGGGAUAACAGGGCCUGGGCCAGGACAGUAUUGGACUGAGGCGGCAAGGGCAGCUGGUGACAGCUAGUGAUGACAAACUUUGCAAGGACAGUGUCAGAGCAUGGCAGAGAGCCAGCCUUACACAGUUGAGGGAAUGGAUACAUACAAGGCGUUGAGCAAGCACGCAUACUAAGGAUAGUGGGAGCAGAGAAGCAGAAAGAAAAACUGAUGGAAAGGUUCAUGUGCAGACAUACAUACUUGGGAAGGUAUGUGUGUAUGUAUAAAAGUACAUGCACUUCUGAGCUCUGUCCACUGAGAGGGCCUGUGAGAAGCAGCACUCCGGGAGCAAAGGGAACACUUAGCACCCAGAUCUUGGCUUCUCGAUGUCGCUCUCCACGAAAAGAAAUCAAGGUCUCCUAGAGAACUCACUGAUCCAGAGCUGGGGCAGGGAAAUUACAAAGUAAGCCAAGAGCAGCUUGUUGUGGAGAAAGUGUUCGAGAAUGAUGGGCACGAGUCAAAAGGACACAGAAGCCAGGUUCACGGGGCUUCUGGUGUCAAAAUCUAGGUCAGUUUGAACAUCAAAAUAAUUAAUGAUAAUAAGGCGUUAUAACCCAUUGAAGAAUAACUCAUUUGUUUAUAAGCAAAUGAAUGAACUUAAGAAUGGCAGCUGAGAAAGUUCCUCCUUGCAACAGAAUGCCAACCAAUAAAUGUGUAAGGAAUGAUACA
rnacentral:lncRNA from 1 species